UACGAAGGGAGCUAGCGUUGUUCGGAAUUACUGGGCGUAAAGCGCAUGCAGGCGGAUCGUUAAGUCGGGGGUGAAAUCCCGAGGCUCAACCUCGGAACUGCCUUCGAUACUGGCGAUCUUGAGUCCGGGAGAGGUGGGUGGAACUGCGAGUGUAGAGGUGAAAUUCGUAGAUAUUCGCAAGAACACCAGUGGCGAAGGCGGCUCACUGGCCCGGUACUGACGCUGAGAUGCGAAAGCGUGGGGAGCAAACAGG
rnacentral:rRNA from 1 species